UACAUGUGGGGCAAGCGUUGUUCGGAAUUACUGGGCAUAAAGGGUGCGUAGGCGGUUUGUUAAGUCACAGGUGAAAGUUUUCGGCCCAACCGGAAAAUUGCCCGUGAUACUGGCGAACUUGAGUGCGUGAGGGGUGGGGGGAACGAGCAGUGUAGCGGUGAAAUGCGUAGAUAUUGGGAGGAACACCAGUGGCGAAGGCGGCUCACUGGACCGGUACUGACGCUGAGGCGCGAAAGCGUGGGGAGCAAACGGG
rnacentral:rRNA from 1 species